rnacentral:rRNA from 1 species
AGCUCGUGUCGUGAGAUGUUGGGUUAAGUCCCGCAACGAGCGCAACCCUCGCCCUUACGUUUGCCAUCAUUCAGUUGGGCGACUCUAAGGGGAACGUGCCGGUGAUAAGCCGAGAGGAAGGUGGGGAUGACGUCAAGUCCUCAUGGCCCUUACGGGCUGGGCUACACACGUGCUACAAUGGUGGUGACAGUGGGCAGCGAGACCGCGAGGUCGAGCUAAUCUCCAAAAGCCAUCUCAGUUCGGAUUGCACUCUGCAACUCGAGUGCAUGAAGUUGGAAUCGCUAGUAAUCGCGGAUCAGCAUGCCGCGGUGAAUACGUUCCCGGGCCUU